GGAAAAAAACCAUUUUUUCCCCUUUUCCUUUUUUCUUUCUCUCUCUGUUCUCUCGGCUCUCUCCCUCCGAAACUCUCCUUCCACUUCUCUCCUCGAUUUCAUCUACUUAGAGCGUGAUUUCGAACAAAGCCCAAGAAUUAAAGUCGUUAUACGGAGCGCGGGCUUCCUAUCCAUCUAAGAAAAAUCAAGAUCAGACCACGUGGGAGUUCGGUUGACUUGGUCAAAGAUUCGGGUUUUGCUCAAAACCCAUGAGGUGCAAAAACAAGAAAGUUGGCAUGGCGUGCAUGUCGUGCUUGUUGAUCAUGACUUUCAAAGGUAUAAAAGAGGCGAUUACCUGCAUUUGAUUUGAAAGAAGUAUUUUGGAAAGGCAUUUGUUACAACUGUAAGAUUAUUUUCUUCGGUCAUUGGCAUUUCGAUAACUUGGGGCCAAUGAGCCAAAAAUGUAAUAUUCGAAUCUUAUUUGAGAACAGGGGAAAGGAAGAUCUUUUAGGUAUUAAUUGUAUUAUUGCGAUGACUUUAUUUAUCAAAAGAGUAUUCUUUAUUUAUGUUGAAAA